rnacentral:rRNA from 1 species
CUACGUGCCAGCAGCCGCGGUAAUACGGAAGGUCCGGGCGUUAUCCGGAUUUAUUGGGUUUAAAGGGAGCGUAGGCUGGAGAUUAAGUGUGUUGUGAAAUGUAGACGCUCAACGUCUGACUUGCAGCGCAUACUGGUUUCCUUGAGUACGCACAACGUUGGCGGAAUUCGUCGUGUAGCGGUGAAAUGCUUAGAUACGACGAAGAACUCCGAUUGCGAAGGCAGCUGACGGGAGCGCAACUGACGCUUAAGCUCGAAGGUGCGGGUAUCGAACAGGAUUAGAUACCCUGGUAGUCCGCACAGUAAACGAUGGAUGCCCGCUGUUGGUACCUGGUAUCAGCGGCUAAGCGAAAGCAUUAAGCAUCCCACCUGGGGAGUACGCCGGCAACGGUGAAACUCAAAGGAAUUGACGGGGGCCCGCACAAGCGGAGGAACAUGUGGUUUAAUUCGAUGAUACGCGAGGAACCUUACCCGGGCUA